rnacentral:rRNA from 1 species
GACGAACGCUGGCGGCGUGCCUAAUACAUGCAAGUUGAGCGCUGAAGGUUGGUACUUGUACCAACUGGAUGAGCAGCGAACGGGUGAGUAACGCGUGGGGAAUCUGCCUUUGAGCGGGGGACAACAUUUGGAAACGAAUGCUAAUACCGCAUAAAAACUUUAAACACAAGUUUUAAGUUUGAAAGAUGCAAUUGCAUCACUCAAAGAUGAUCCCGCGUUGUAUUAGCUAGUUGGUGAGGUAAAGGCUCACCAGGGCGAUGAUACAUAGCCGACCUGAGAGGGUGAUCGGCCACAUUGGGACUGAGACACGGCCCAAACUCCUACGGGAGGCAGCAGUAGGGAAUCUUCGGCAAUGGGCGAAAGUCUGACCGAGCAACGCCGCGUGAGUGAAGAAGGCUUUCGGAUCGUAAAACUCUGUUGGUAGAGAAGAACGUUGGUGAGAGUGGAAAGCUCAUCAAGUGACGGUAACUACCCAGAAAGGGACGGCUAACUACGUG